rnacentral:lncRNA from 1 species
GACUCCCCGCAGGUCUCCAGUGCCUACGAGGUUCUCCCCACUUACACUCGCCCCUGCGUUUUGCUCUCGGGUGCUUCCGUUGCGCCCCCCAAACCCUGCGGGGCCCACACACAAGGCAGAUUUCUUUCUUUCCUUUUUCCAACCAAGAGCUGCUGCAGCAAACCCCGGAAUGAAAUUAAAAUCUCCAGGCGCACCCCGAAGUUGUAGUCAGCCGAAGCGUAACUGCUACCCCACCCUCCCCCCAGCCCAGUGCGCGCCCCCGUCCCGGCCUCGCGGCGCGCUGAGGGUUAAGCGCGCGCAGGAGUGGGUAGUUGGCGACGGAGGAGGAGCGGGGGUGGGGUGGCGAGCGCCGCGGCCGGGGAAGCUGGGCUCGCUCUCCUCCCCCUCAUCGUCCCAGCCAACCCAGGAGUGGCGAGGCCGGAGCGAUCGGAAGGAGCCGGUCGGUCUCCGCCUUCGCGGCUGGCCUGGAGCCGGGUCCGGCCGCGGCCCGCAACCGCCAGGACGCUGCUCCGAGGCCGCGUCCUGCGUAGCCAGGGUGGGGGAGGGGGCGGUGGCUCCGGAGCCGCGGCGGCGCGUCGCCAGCCAGCCGAUCGAUCCCCAGGGGCCGGAGCGCCGCAAGCUCCGCUGGACACCUGGGGCGGGGGUGUCCCUGCAGGAUCAAAGGGAGAACGGAGGGGGUGCUCAGGGAUCCGGUGACCGUGGGAUGGCGGCCGGGAGGGCCCAGCCAGAGCACGGUUCUGCCUGUGCUGCGGGGGCCAAGGACUGGGGGCGGGUGGUAACGCCUCGGGCACCCCCACCCCCCCUCCAAAUCCUGUAUUGUCGGUAUCGGGGCCGGCUUUGGCCACUUCCGGAGCUGAAUCUGGCUGCCCUGAAACUUGGUCUCUCCGCGUCCACGUUCCCACCCCACCCCCACUCCCGACUACAAGGUCGUCGGACGUGGUCACCUAGUCCAUUUCCUCCUCGCCCCGCCCUCCUGAAUCCUGGUAGAAAACGGUAGGUAUCUCUGCGACCCCACCUCCAGAAAGAACCCCCAGGUUUGUUCAAGAAGUCCUCCUGUCCAGCUUCUUCCGGAGGAUCGCUUCCUGUGAUUGUCCCCGAGGACCCCCAAAGAGUCCCCUUCGGUCCCGGGGGACCCCGGCAGCGGCCUCACCUGCCUGCUCCAGGUGCUUGGGC